rnacentral:rRNA from 1 species
UACGUAGGGACCAAGCGUUGUUCGGAUUUACUGGGCGUAAAGGGCGCGUAGGCGGCAAUUCAAGUCAUCUGUGAAAUCUCCGGGCUUAACCCGGAACGGUCAGGUGAUACUGUUUUGCUAGAGUGCGGAAGGGGCAAUCGGAAUUCUCGGUGUAGCGGUGAAAUGCGUAGAUAUCGAGAGGAACACCGGUGGCGAAGGCGGCCUUCUGGACGGAUACUGACGCUGAUACGCGAAAGCGUGGGGAGCAAACAGG